CGCAUUUCUCCAUCCAGUUCCCAGCUGUGCCCCGGUCCCUGCCUGCUCCUCCUUUCUGGAGGCUGGCGCCGUGUGCAGGAAAGGGAGCCCGAGGGGCCUGAGAGGAGCCGUCACUCUGAUCUCUGAGCUAGGCCCAUGAGCCUGCAGGACUCCCUGCCACAGGACCUGGCUGAGCAGGGGGGUGGGGCUGGGGUCUCAGAGCCAUUGCUGGGGACACUCGCUGUGCCCAUCAGUUUCCACGGGAACCCUGUAUCUCACCACACACCCUUCCCCUGCACAGAUCCCCGACCCCAGACCGAGAAGAUGAGCUGCGGCCUCCUGAACAGUUCCAAUGAGCCGGUGCCCCUGCGCAGCGGCUCGGUGACGGUGCUGAUCCGAGGCUUUGUGGCAGACGUGGGCUGUGAGCUGCUCUACAGGAACGAUGAGCAGGGGCCCGUGGAGGCCGUGUUCAUGUUCCCCGUGGAUGCCGAGGCGGCCGUCUACGCCUUCCAGGCCCGCCUGGGGGGCACCUGCAUCCAGGCUCAGCUCCGAGAGAAGAAACAGGCACAAGAGAUGUAUGGGGACGCGCUGGCCGGGGGGCAGAGCUCCUUCUUGCUGCAGCAGGAAGGGGCCGGGGGCGACGUUUUCAGCUGCUCCCUGGGGAACCUGCCCCCUGGGGAGGAGGUGGUGCUGACCCUGCGCUACGUCUGUGAGCUGCCGCUGGAGCCAGAUGGAGCUGCCCGAUACAUGCUGCCAGCUGUGCUGCGCCCCCGCUACACGCCCCAUGGGUGGGACGGGGAGGACGUCACCCAGGGGGUCCCACGAGUCCCCCAAGGGGAGCUGCCCUACACCCUGAACCUGAGCGCCAUGCUGCAGUCACCCCACGGCAUCGACCGUGUGCUCUCCAACUGCUCCCUCACCCCCCUGAGCUACACAUCUGGGAACCGGACCAGUGCCCAGGUGUCUCUGGCCGAGAUCCCCCCGUGGGACCGGGACGUGGAGCUGCUAGUGUAUUACGCGGAGCCGCACAAACCCAGCGCAGUGCUGGAGAUCGGGUUGCCCGGAGCAGAGCCAGGCUCCCUGAUGGGCGACCUGGCCGUGAUGGUGACCCUGCUGCCCAGCCUGCCCGAGGUGGUGCCGGGCCAGAGCCCAUCCGGGGAGUUCAUCUUCCUGCUGGAUCGCUCCGGCAGCAUGCAGUGCCCCGUGGACGGCCGAGACCGCUCGCCUCAGCGCAUCGACAGCGCCAAGGAGACCCUGGUCCUGCUGUUGAAGAGUUUGCCCCUUGGCUGUUAUUUCAACAUCUACGGCUUUGGGUCUCGGUUCGAGUCCUUCUACCCGCAGAGCGUGGCAUACACCCAACAGACCAUGGCCGAGUCCCUGCAGCGCAUCCAGCAGCUCCAGGCCAACCUGGGGGGCACCGAGAUCUUGGCACCGCUACAAGCCAUUUACCGCAGCCCCUGCCGGGACAGGCACCCGCGUCAGCUGUUCGUGUUCACGGACGGGGAGGUGGGGAACACCAAGAACGUCAUCACUGAGGUGCAGCGUCACCAGGGGUCUCACAGGUGCUUCUCCUUUGGCAUCGGGGAAGGGGCCUCCACGGCGCUGGUCAAAGGCAUCGCCCGGGCAGCAGGGGGCAGCGCUGAGUUCAUCACGGGCCAGGACCGCAUGCAGCCCAAGGCCCUGCAGUCUCUGAAGCGGGCUCUGCAGCCGGCCGUGACUGGGAUCUUACUGAGCUGGGAUCUGCCUCUCGGGAUGGAGGCGGCACUGCUGGGCCAGGGCCCUGAGGUGAUCUUCCCUGGGCAGCGGUGUCUCAUCUAUGCCCAGCUCCGUGGGCAGCCCCAGCCCCCCAGACACUGCCGUAGGGGGCGUCACCCUGCAGUAUCGCAUCCAGGACCAGACUUACAAGGAAAUGUUGCAGUUCCCCCUGCAGCCACAGGAUGGAGACAGCCUUCAGGGCCGCACCCCGAAUGCGGAAAAUGCUGUAUUCCUCAGUGGGCCAUUCCCUCUCUGUGCCCAUGGCCCAGGCCCAAGGGCCCUCCUGUGUGUCCAUGGACUGCGCCAUGGCCUGCAACUCUGACAACAGCUCAGAUGUGCAAGUUGAGAGCCGCCGCCCCCGCCUCCUCCUCUGUGACACUCACUCCCAAGGCUUCCUACAGCAAGCAGAGGUUACGUUACCCUCCACGAUCGCUCAUCGUGGCUCCCGCGCCAUCCCAAAGCUCAGCUUGAGGAGCACCGAAUACAUGUUCAGGAAGGUCUGCAAACCAAGAGCCCCACCGGAGACCACGUCCCAGAAAGGCACUGGCAGAGUCUCCCCUGCUGAGGCUGGUGUCUCUGCAGAAUGCUGACGGCUCAUGGGACCUGGACUCCCAGCUU